CCUACGGGGGGCUGCAGUGGGGAAUCCUCCGCAAUGGGCGCAAGCCUGACGGAGCAAUGCCGCGUGAGUGAAGAAGGCCUUCGGGUUGUAAAACUCUGUCCUAAGGGAAGAAUGUUACCUAUGAGAAUAUUGUAGGUAAAUGACGGUACCUUAGGAGGAAGCCCCGGCUAACUACGUGCCAGCAGCCGCGGUAAUACGUAGGGGGCGAGCGUUGUCCGGAAUCACUGGGCGUAAAGGGUGCGUAGGCGGCCAAUUAAGCCAGGGGUGAAAGGCUACGGCUCAACCGUAGUAAGCCCUUGGAACUGAAUGGCUUGAGUGCGGGAGAGGAGAGUGGAAUUCCUAGUGUAGCGGUGAAAUGCGUAGAUAUUAGGAGGAACACCAGUGGCGAAGGCGACUCUCUGGACUGUAACUGACGCUGAGGCACGAAAGCGUGGGGAGCAAACAGGAUUAGAUACCCCUGUAGUC
rnacentral:rRNA from 1 species